rnacentral:rRNA from 1 species
GAUGAACGCUGGCGGCGUGCCUAAUACAUGCAAGUCGAGCGAACGGACGAGAAGCUUGCUUCUCUGAUGUUAGCGGCGGACGGGUGAGUAACACGUGGAUAACCUACCUAUAAGACUGGGAUAUCUUCGGGAAACCGGAGCUAAUACCGGAUAAUAUUUUGAACCGCAUGGUUCAAAAGUGAAAGACGGUCUUGCUGUCACUUAUAGAUGGAUCCGCGCUGCAUUAGCUAGUUGGUAAGGUAACGGCUUACCAAGGCAACGAUGCAUAGCCGACCUGAGAGGAGGGGAGGGCAAGUGAGCACUGAGCCAGAGUAGGGACACAGAGGGGAGGCAGCAGUGGGGGGUAGUGCUGAAGGGACGAAAGUCGGACGCAGCACUACCGCGUGAGAUACUAAGGUAUUAGGAUCGUAAAACUCUGUAAGUAGGGAAAAACAAAUGCCUCAGAAACGGUCAACGUCAUGACGGGAGAUAAUCAGAAGGCCACGGCUCGCUUCGGC